CUCCAUUCUGUGCAGUCCUGCCCAUCAGUCCCUCCACUACGGCAAACCCACCCCGGGCUGAGACCUGACAUGCCCGGGGUGUCAAAAGAGGCUGUCAUCCCAUGAGUGCAAGGUGCCCAGGCCUGUGCCACCCUAGAGCAUGGUCUCUGGAUCUUGGGAGAAAGCUGAGCAUCACAGAACUGAAGAAGGUGGGCCACGCUCGGGAGACUGAGGGUCCCUUCUGCAAACUCAGCCAGACCUGCAUUAUGGGAAAGGCUCCCUGCUCUGCUCUUCACACUCAUGCUUUAGUCACGUCCUUCCAGCCCAUCUCUGGACUCAAGGAACAGCCAAGUUCCCUGGGGUGGAAUCGCCAAGACUGAAG
rnacentral:lncRNA from 1 species